AGAGUUUGAUCCUGGCUCAGAACGAACGCUGGCGGCAUGCCUAACACAUGCAAGUCGAACGAGAUCUUCGGAUCUAGUGGCGCACGGGUGCGUAACGCGUGGGAAUCUGCCCUUGGGUUCGGAAUAACAGUUGGAAACGACUGCUAAUACCGGAUGAUGACGUAAGUCCAAAGAUUUAUCGCCCAAGGAUGAGCCCGCGUAGGAUUAGCUGGUUGGUGAGGUAAAGGCUCACCAAGGCUACGAUCCUUAGCUGGUCUGAGAGGAUGAUCAGCCACACUGGGACUGAGACACGGCCCAGACUCCUACGGGAGGCAGCAGUGGGGAAUAUUGGACAAUGGGCGAAAGCCUGAUCCAGCAAUGCCGCGUGAGUGAUGAAGGCCUUAGGGUUGUAAAGCUCUUUUACCCGGGAAGAUAAUGACUGUACCGGGAGAAUAAGCCCCGGCUAACUCCGUGCCAGCAGCCGCGGUAAUACGGAGGGGGCUAGCGUUGUUCGGAAUUACUGGGCGUAAAGCGCACGUAGGCGGCUCUGUAAGUUAGAUGUGAUGUCUCUGGGCUCAACUCCGGAAUCGCCUUAAGACUGCAUCGCUUGAGCGUCUGAGAGGUGAGUGNCUUACGAGUGUAGAUGUGACAUUCGUAGAUAUUCGGAUGAACACAGUGGCGAAGGCGACUCACCGACGACUGUUGACGCUGAUGUGCGAAGCGUGGGAGCAACAGGAUAG
rnacentral:rRNA from 1 species